ACCUGAGUGUAUUGCCUAGAGUGAGAGAGGCCAAGAAGUGAAAGGGAAAGUAUAGACAAGGCGCUUGUCCCUGGGAGUUUUGAUUUUAAGAAAACAAUCCUAGAUGAGGAAAAGAAAUACGAACUCGGUCUCAAUAAGGAUUUCUGACAGGAGGGAAGCACCUCCAUGAGUACUGAGUUCUUCAAACUCAGAGGUAAAAGGUGGGAAGGAGGAGAGAGGUUCAUUUUCCAAGAGCAAUGAAUAAGCCAAGUCACAUCCUCUACACGAGUCAGGCGGCUUCUGGUAGGAGGAUGAAAAGCUCGGGAUGAGAGACUCAGCCAGCAGAGAGACCCAGUUUCUGGUUUCAGAUCUGGCCCAACCGACUGAAUGCUUUGGAAAUUCAAAACGGAUCUGCACAUCCAGUUUCUCUUUGGCGCUGUGGGAAUAAUAAAUUCUUGUCUCUCAAUGAUUUUGUGAACAAAGGAAAGAAAGGAACAACAGAUAAACACUUAAAGGCCUCAGGAAGUAGUACUCUGCAGAGACAUAUUUUAUUGUUUUUAAUAAUUUCUCAGACUGUUUCGGAAAAGUAAAACGUCCUUGGCUUAUAGGCUAUUUUUUAAAUGGAUGCUGAGUGUUGCUAAGGGGCCUCUCUUGAGUAACUUCCUCCUCUUAAUUGGAACAGAAAUUCUGGCCCUUGACAGAUACACAGAAGGGUCAAAAUAGAACUGAGCUGUUCUACAACUUCUGGUUCUCAAUAGACUACACUUAAGUGUCUGGUUCCGUCUGCAAAGUUAAAUCGUUAUAACAAGGGCCAGGAAGAGGAUGCUUAUGAAGAUAUGGAUAACAUAGAGAGAAAAGGCAAGGAAAAAAUCCAUUGAUGAACUACAAGUGGUCAUAAAACCUGGAAACCGGCAAAUAUACAUAAUAAAAGGCUUAUAGAUAUUGCAAUCCAUGCUGUGUUCAAUAACAUUACAUCAUAUGGUCGAUGUCCCUCGUUAGGAACGCUUAGUUCAAUGCGAUGGGCCGGUCCACAGGGCGUGCCAGGACUAAUUGAGGUUCUAUCAGUGCUCGAAAUGAGUCUGUGAUGCCUUGUCUUGUGUAACUGACCUUUGAUUUUCAUUUUCACAGAAUAACCUACAAACCCCAGAAGAAGCAAUCAAGGAGAUUCAAUCUGUUAAAAGUAAGCCAGGCUUUAUGGCUAUCUUGCAGCUGCCACAGAGAAGAACAUAGAGAACAGUAAAGAACAGUAAAACAAGGAAAAUGGCAAAGAGUCUAGAGAGUGAUAGAGGGUAAAAGUAGAAACAGAGAAUGUGACCAUGGAAACAAAACUGGGAUGGGGAGGGGCGGAUAUCCCAACCCAGGGAACAGAGAGACAAAAAGAGAGAGAAACAUCCUCUGGAAAAUAAGGCAACAUAUCAAGGGGAAAGGAAAGGACAGUGAGAAGGACAGAAAGAAAAAAGCAUUCUUUUUUUUUUUUUCUUUUUUGGUAGUAAUUUAGGAUUUACUUUUGUAAAAGCAAGUUGACAAAUAUUAAAAUGUUAUACCUGCCUUUUGAACAUCAUAAUAUAAAUAUAAAACACAAAACAUCCAAUGUUAAACACUGAUCUCCCAUGCCUGACUUGGAUUUAGAUAUUGAGUAUAUGAUAUUUUGCAGAAAGAAACUUUGAAAAUUUUCUCAAUGCUUGCAAUAUGUAUUACUAUUAAGGGGAAUUUCCUAGACCUCACAAACUGUUAGAUGCAGCCCUCAUUAGCCAAAUCUGAUAGAUGGGAGCAUACUAACUUUUUCUACAGAAAAUUAAUAGGAAAAUGUAAUUUAAGACCUGGAAGGAACUGGGGGUACCUGACUGGCUUAGUUGCUGGAGCGGGCAACUCUUGAUCUCGGGGUUGUGAGUUCAAGCCCCAUGUUGGGGAUGACUUAAAAAUAAAAU